GGACGCAGCCCGUCACCGCUCUGCGCCGCGGGGCGGGGGCUCGCAGGCCGGGACUCGCCGUCAGGUGGGCGGUUCCCCGAACUGCGAACCAGAAGGUGGGCCCCGAGACGGUGUCUGGGCUGCUUGACGACUGGGCAAAAGUUUCCCAAGGCAUUCAGAUUCCAAACUAGAGAUGGUAUCAAGCGAUGCCCGGAAAGCCUCCCUAGAUGAAGGGAUAGACGCUGGAGUUCAUAUCUGCCACGGGCCGCUGGACCAACCAAGGAACCUUCAGGAAUGCAACCCCACAAGUUUGCAAGGAAAGAUGUUUUUCAGAUUCCAACUCUCUUGAGAUGGAAAAGACUUAUGGAGGGACCAGACCAAGUGUUCCCCAAGCACCUGCUAAUAUAACGUCAUGGACUCCAAUCAACCACAAACACCUUCUCAGGAGACCCAUGUCCCCCAAUUUUGCCCUUAAAAAACCCUCACUUGCAAGCCAUUUGGGGAGGUAAGGACUUGUGAGCAUUAGCUCCUGGUUCUCCUGGGUGGUGCCAAACCAAUAAACAGCCCAUCUUUCUUCACUGCAAAA